UGACUUGUUUCUGAACACAUAAUGUUGCUGAACCUAGACCUGAACCUAGACCUGAACCUAGACCUGACGAGCUGCAGCAACCUCAGAUCCCAGACUGCCC